rnacentral:ncRNA from 2 species
GAUAAGUUCCUCUGUGCCAGCGGACCUCCACACAGGGGGUCAGGGAAUCCGGUGUGAAUCCGGAACUGACGCGCAGCGGUGAGGGUGACCGCCCGGGCUUACGCCACUGGAUGAAAAUCUGGGAAGGCGCUCGGGUGGGGCGAUCUCGAGUCCGAAUACCGGCUGGCAGCAGGGGUCAACA